rnacentral:rRNA from 1 species
GAUGAACGCUGGCGGCGUGCCUAAUACAUGCAAGUCGAGCGAACAGAUGAGGAGCUUGCUCCUCUGACGUUAGCGGCGGACGGGUGAGUAACACGUGGAUAACCUACCUAUAAGACUGGGAUAACUUCGGGAAACCGGAGCUAAUACCGGAUAAUAUAUUGAACCGCAUGGUUCAAUAGUGAAAGACGGUUUUGCUGUCACUUAUAGAUGGAUCCGCGCCGCAUUAGCUAGUUGGUAAGGUAACGGCUUACCAAGGCAACGAUGCGUAGCCGACCUGAGAGGGUGAUCGGCCACACUGGAACUGAGACACGGUCCAGACUCCUACGGGAGGCAGCAGUAGGGAAUCUUCCGCAAUGGGCGAAAGCCUGACGGAGCAACGCCGUGUGAGUGAUGAAGGUCUUCGGAUCGUAAAACUCUGUUAUUAGGGAAGAACAAAUGUGUAAGUAACUAUGCACGUCUUGACGGUACCUAAUCAGAAAGCCACGGCUAACUACGUG